GACGAACGCUGGCGGCGUGCUUAACACAUGCAAGUCGAACGAUGAAGCCGGAGCUUGCUCCGGUGGAUUAGUGGCGAACGGGUGAGUAACACGUGAGCAAUCUGCCCUUGACUCUGGGAUAACUGCGGGAAACUGUAGCUAAUACCGGAUACGACACCUUGGGGCAUCCCAGGGUGUGGAAAGAAUUUCGGUCAAGGAUGGGCUCGCGGCCUAUCAGCUAGUUGUGGAGGUAAUGGCUCACCAAGGCGACGACGGGUAGCCGGCCUGAGAGGGUGACCGGCCACACUGGAACUUAGACACGGUCCAGACUCCUACGGGAGGCAGCAGUGGGGAAUAUUGCACAAUGGGCGAAAGCCUGAUGCAGCAACGCCGCGUGAGGGAUGAAGGCCUUCGGGUUGUAAACCUCUUUUAGCAGGGAAGAAGCGAAAGUGACGGUACCUGCAGAAAAAGCACCGGCUAACUACGUGCCAGCCGCCGCCGUAA
rnacentral:rRNA from 1 species